rnacentral:rRNA from 1 species
GGGAACAUACCCUUUUCUACGGAAUAGCUCUGGGAAACUGGAAUUAAUACCGUAUACGCCCUACGGGGGAAAGAUUUAUCGGGGAAGGAUUGGCCCGCGUUGGAUUAGCUAGUUGGUGGGGUAAAGGCCUACCAAGGCGACGAUCCAUAGCUGGUCUGAGAGGAUGAUCAGCCACAUUGGGACUGAGACACGGCCCAAACUCCUACGGGAGGCAGCAGUGGGGAAUAUUGGACAAUGGGCGCAAGCCUGAUCCAGCCAUGCCGCGUGAGUGAUGAAGGCCUUAGGGUUGUAAAGCUCUUUCGCCGAUGAAGAUAAUGACGGUAGUCGGAGAAGAAGCCCCGGCUAACUUCGUGCCAGCAGCCGCGGUAAUACGAAGGGGGCUAGCGUUGUUCGGAAUUACUGGGCGUAAAGCGCACGUAGGCGGAUAUUUAAGUCAGGGGUGAAAUCCCAGAGCUCAACUCUGGAACUGCCUUUGAUACUGGGUAUCUUGAGUAUGGAAGAGGUAAGUGGAAUUGCGAGU